rnacentral:tRNA from 1 species
GGGGGCAUAGCUCAGUUGGGAGAGCAACAGACUGAAGAUGCGCUAGGUCCCCAGUUCAAUCCUGGGUGCCCCCA